rnacentral:sRNA from 2 species
AUGCACACGCGUACAUCCCGGUCUCUGCGUGCCGUCCACAUCCGUCCGGCGACCGCGCGUUAUGUCUGUCAGCC